GCACCGACGGGCUAGCAAACGUCGCAUGCAGCACGCGACGCUCCGAUCGGCUGCCAGCACGGCGCGAAGGCUAUGUGGCGAGCAAGCACACCAUCCCCCAGGCCACGGAUGCGCUCCAAGUGUGUGAAAUCUCCUGCAGGUAGAGAUCUUUUUUUUUUUCUUUCUUUUUGAGAAUCCGGUAGAGAUCUUAAUAUGACGGGUGCUGCCUCAUGGAGGGAAUAAAAAGGCUAAAUAUAAUUGUUGCGUGAGAACAUGUCAUGCGAAUUUUGCAUACAACAACAUUUAUGAUAACAGGAUAUUGUUAUCGGAGACCUACAUAGACAUGAUCAUUUUUCAGUAUGCUCUACUCCCUCCGUUUCACCAAAAAUGUCGUUUUUGACUUUUGGGUAUUAUGUUUGAUCAUUCGUCUUAUUUAAAAAAUAUAUAAAUUAUAAAUUAAAUAAAUUAUUAUUAAAAUAUCUCUAAUGAUAAAAUAAGUCAUAAUUUAAUUAAUAUUUGUACAAUUUUUUUGAAAAAAGACGAAUGGUCAAACACUAUGUCAAAAAAGCACUUCACAAACGAAUGUUCAGGUGCAUCAUAGACGCUCCAACGCGCAUCGGCAAUACGGCGUUUAUAAUAAGGCUUAUUACAACACGCAAAACAAGCAUCUGUAGUAACAAAUACAAAUGCAGACACGCGUAACUACAUACGACUGUGAUUAAAAUGAACACGUGUUUGUAGGCAUGGCACCACUAUAGACCCGUAUAGUGUGUAACCGUCUGUGUGAACAACGAUAUUACAAAUGCCUGUACUUAGCAACUGUAUAUACUUAGAUUCUUACUAUAGAUGCCAAUGGUACAAACGUAUUUGUGAACAAAUAUUUAUGCACAGAUCGCAUGCAAGUAACAUAUAUAAACAAAUUAUUGUUCUUUACACUAGCUCAUAUAUCACAGAUGAGCUUCUCUCAUCACACAGAAUACGAAAAUGUAUCAUAAAGUUUCACAUAUGUCCAUCACACACAACACAAAUAAUAUAAUGUAUCUCAAACUUGCACAGCUCAAAACUCGUAAUCACAACUCCCAACAUAAAUCGUCAAAUUACUCUAAAUCAUCCAAUUAAAAUGGUUUCUUUGGGC
rnacentral:lncRNA from 1 species